rnacentral:rRNA from 1 species
UAGAGGUUGAUCCUGCCUCAGGAUGAACGCUGCCGGCGUGCCUAAUACAUGCAAGUCGAGCGAACGGACGAGAAGCUUGCUUCUCUGAUGUUAGCGGCGGACGGGUGAGUAACACGUGGAUAACCUACCUAUAAGACUGGGAUAACUUCGGGAAACCGGAGCUAAUACCGGAUAAUAUUUUGAACCGCAUGGUUCAAAAGUGAAAGACGGUCUUGCUGUCACUUAUAGAUGGAUCCGCGCUGCAUUAGCUAGUUGGUAAGGUAACGGCUUACCAAGGCAACGAUGCAUAGCCGACCUGAGAGGGUGAUCGGCCACACUGGAACUGAGACACGGUCCAGACUCCUACGGGAGGCAGCAGUAGGGAAUCUUCCGCAAUGGGCGAAAGCCUGACGGAGCAACGCCGCGUGAGUGAUGAAGGUCUUCGGAUCGUAAAACUCUGUUAUUAGGGAAGAACAUAUGUGUAAGUAACUGUGCACAUCCUUGACGGUACCUAANCAGAAAGCCACGGCUAACAAC